GUGACUCUGCACACAAAGGCUGCUCAUUGUAGCCACGUCUGAAUGCCUGUGAAUAGGACGGAACAUAUGCAGCCUGUCACCGCAGGUGCCCACAUCUGUUCUUCCCCGGGCAGAUGCUCACAGAAAAGGGGAAAUGGGGAGGCCAGGGGAGGACAUCGCACUCGAAAGCCUCCACGGUCGCCUCGUCCUGGGAUCCUCGGGAGUGGCCUUGGAAGGCCGAGCCGCACGUUCGGAGGCGGAAAGUUCGGAGGGGGCUUCGAGCAGCUGCCGCGGUAAUCUGAUCCCGGGACAAAGGCGCGCCCGCCGGUGCUGCGGCCACAGCCGCCUGUCCCAUUAAAGAAGAAAAAAAUCUAUGACACACGUCAUAACCCUUCGGCACAGAACAAGUUCCGACCCUCGGCCCACGCACGGGUCCCAGGACGCGUCCGCAGGGAAGGCUGGUGGGGGACACUCCAGGCAUCUGUGGGACCACAGGCCCUGUGGAUGCGCUGCGCAGAGGGCAGAGGCGCUCUGGGUGUCGCUCACCUGUGCCUGCUGACCAGUAAGAGGGAAGCGCUUACCUACUAAACAUCAUCCUGGAGCCCUUCGGGUCCAGGUUAGAAAUAAAGGUCCAGAUAUAACCAC
rnacentral:lncRNA from 1 species